AGAUCAUGCUGGGGAAAACCCACAGAAACACCUGAUCUGUGCAAGCAUAUGCCACUAUGUCUACAUGAUCCAAAGUUGAAGAUCAGUCUUAAGGCUGUACGUAUACAAGGCAAAUGGAUGGCACUAGAAAAAACCAUCAGAGUGAGGUAACCCAGUCACAAAAAUAGAAACAUGAGCCUUCAUCCAAUGAUUGAUGGAAGCAGAGGCAGAUACCUACAGCUAAAUACUGAACUGAGCUCCUAGAACCCAGUUGUAAGAGGGACGAGUAAUGAGCAAUGGAGUCAUGACUGGGCUGGUGAAACCCACAGAAACAGCUGACCUGAACAAGGGGGAGCUCAGGAACCCCAGACUGAUGGCUGAGAGGCCAGUAUGUGACUGAUCAAGACCCCUUGAAUGUGGGUGUCAGUGAGGAGGCCUUGAAAAUAUAUGGGGCCACAAGUAGUAGACCAGUAGUUAUCCCUGGCACACAAAUGUAGUUUGGGAGCCCAUUCCACAUUAAGGGAUGCUCUCUCAGUCUGAACUGAUGGGGGAGGGCCUAGGCCCUGCCUGAUAUAUUUGACAGAUUUUGGAGAUCCCCCAUGGAGGGCCUCACCCUCCCUGGGGAGCAGAGGGGGAAUGGGAUGAGGGCUUGCAGGGCUUGGUUGGGGUGAGGAGGAGGGGAGUGAGAGGAAGCUGAGAUUGACAUGUGAAGCAAGCUUGUGACUAAUUAAAAAAAGUGUUUGAUAUCCCCAGCAACCACCAGUUAAUUAUCAUUGAAAUAUCAAAGAAAAAAAUAAAACCAAAAUUAUAAGGAAUACAAAUUGCUCCAUUAAUGUGAAUAACACACCAUUAUUUUGAAGUAAUAUUAUCACAUUAAUGUUUGAAGAAAACACAAUUCCAUUGUGGGAUCACACAUCACGCCUCAUAGUGAGGACACAAAACAUAAAAGUUCAUGAUGAAGAGUAAUUUACAGUAUGAGAAGACAUUUAAUUAGGUAGACUUUUUAGAAAACUCAAAGACAUAGCAGAGGAAAAAAAUGCUGGAAUCUAAAAAUCAGUGACUAACUUAAGAAAUCAAUAAAGAAUCAUUUAUGUAAAGAAAUAUGCUUGGAAUGACACAUUUGAUCUCAUUUGGAAGUAACAAUAAACUGAAUUUUUUCAACCACAAAUUUAUCGAAUAAGAAAAUAUCAUUUCUCUGUGUGUUAAAAAAGAGCAUUUAAUUAAUUGUAUAUCAAUAUUACUAAACUAAAAAAUUUAUUCUUUGUUAUAGACUUGUAAUAUUAGCUCCAGGCCAGCAGGGACUGCAGAGAGUGACCCUGCCUUAAUUAAGAACAAAUGUUAUUCUUACAGUUUUAAACAAGUUUAAAGAUACAUUUAAAUACAUAAUACAAAUUAAUUUGGUUGGGUAGUUCAAAUUCAAAUUUUAGACAAGUUGUAUUUAUGUGUUUAAAUCUUUUAUGCAUAUUACUAUUAAACAUGAAAAUAUGA